UACGUAGGUGGCAAGCGUUGUCCGGAUUUACUGGGCGUAAAGAGCGCGCAGGCGGUCGUUUAAGUCGAAUGUGAAAGCCCCCGGCUCAACUGGGGAGGGUCAUUCGAUACUGAUCGACUUGAAGGCAGGAGAGGGAAGUGGAAUUCCGGGUGUAGUGGUGAAAUGCGUAGAUAUCCGGAGGAACACCAGUGGCGAAGGCGACUUCCUGGCCUGUUCUUGACGCUGAGGCGCGGAAAGCUGGGG
rnacentral:rRNA from 1 species